UACGUAGGGUGCAAGCGUUGUCCGGAAUUAUGGGGCGUAAAGGGCUCGUAGGCGGUCCGUCACGUCGGGAGUGAAAUCCUGGGGCUUAACCCCAGAACUGCUUCCGAUACGGGCAGACUAGAGUGCGGUAGGGGUGACUGGAAUUCCUGGUGUAGCGGUGGAAUGCGCAGAUAUCAGGAGGAACACCGAUGGCGAAGGCAGGUCACUGGGCCGCAACUGACGCUGAGGAGCGAAAGCAUGGGGAGCGAACAGG
rnacentral:rRNA from 1 species